UCUCGUAAACCGAAGAUCGCGGGUUCGAACCCCGUCCGUGCCUGCCGAGGCGGUAUAGUUUGCUGGCAGCCCCGUCCCGGGAAGGCCGCGGAUGUUGCCUUGUUUGCUGCCCCUUUUUGCUGUCGGCCCCCGGUAUCGGAGAUCGGCUCCGACGUGCGACCGGGGGCAGCCCAGCGCGGCGGAGCGGCCGCGGAUCGCGUGAGACGGGCACUAAGACCAGGGAAGUGGCCGACGUCCCCGUGAUGUCCCCCGGGGUGGCAGUGAGUGGCCGCAGCCCCCCAGGGCGGACGGGGAGCCGCGGGUGCUGGUUUUGAUGGAAUUCUCACAUACAGAGCCCUUAAACGGUAGAAGGAGGCCAAAUCCUGGAAUAACAUAACACAGCUAUGGAAAGCUUAGUGCAGUUGUACCAUUUACACCAGAACUAAUCUUGAUUGCUUGGCUCUUAAUACAUAAAGCUGUGCAAAGCUCUGCA